rnacentral:rRNA from 1 species
GUAUAUUAAAGUUGCUGCAGUUAAAAAAGCUCGUAGUUGAAUUUCUGUUUGUAAGAGUCGAAGCUUUACAGCUAAGAUUUCUUCGAACAUCUGUUUGCAAGCAUACGUUCGGCCUUCACUGGUUGGCUAUGUAAGCAAGCGCUUUACCUUGAGAAAAUUAGAGUGUUCCAGGCAGGCUUCAGCCGGAAUACAUUAGCAUGGAAUAAUGGAAUAGGACUGGGGGACUAUUUAUUGGUUUGAGGCUCCAGUAAUGAUUAAUAGGAACAGUCGGGGGCAUUGGUACUUAACAGUCAGAGGUGAAAUUCUUGGAUUUGUUAAAGACUAACUAAUGCGAAAGCAUUUGCCAAGCAUGUUUUCAUUAAUCAAGAACGAAAGUUAGGGGAUCAAAGACGAUUAGAUACCGUCUAGUCUUAACUGUAAACGAUUCCAUCUUAGAAUUGGUGAAUAUUGAUGAUUCAUCCAGCGCUAUAAGAGAAAUCAAAGUCUUUGGGUUCUUGGUGGAGUACGAUCGCAAGAUUG